AAUAGAUACCCUGGUAGUCCACGCCGUAAACGUUGGAUACUAGGUGUGGCGGUUAUACCAAUGACUGCCGUGCCGAAGCUAACGCAUUAAGUAUCCCGCCUGGGGAGUACGGCCGCAAGGCUAAAACUCAAAGGAAUUGACGGGUCCCCGCACAAGCGGCGGAGCAUGCGGCUUAAUUCGAUGCAACCCGAAGAACCUUACCUGGGUUUGACAUCACGGGAAAAGCUGUAGAAAUACAGUGUCCAUUAGGGCCCGUGACAGGUGGUGCAUGGCUGUCGUCAGCUCGUGUCGUGAGAUGUUGGGUUAAGUCCCGCAACGAGCGCAGCCCUUGUCCUAUGUUGCCAGCGGUUCGGCCGGGGACUCAUAGGAGACUGCCGGGGAUAACUCGGAGGAAGGUGAGGACGACGUCAAGUCAUCAUGCCCCUUAUAUCCAGGGCUGCACGCAUGCUACAAUGGCCGGUACAACGGGCAGCGACCCCGCGAGGGUGAGCGAAUCCUAAAAAGCCGGUCCUAGUUCGGAUUGAAGUCUGCAACUCGACUU
rnacentral:rRNA from 1 species